rnacentral:lncRNA from 1 species
AGGAAGCGAUGCAGGGACCUCAGGGGAAGGGCAGCCCAAAUCCCCCCAAAGGGCUCCCUGUACUGGCUCCAAACACUGCCUUGUGUAAAACCCACUUCUGAGUGUCACCUGACCAGGCCCAGGACUGGUGCUAUUUCAUUCAGGGAAGCACAAAGAAGUUUGGGGCCACAAGUGGAAAGUCUGAGCCUUCUCUAAUCUACAGCACUUUAAGGACGUUUAGAGAUGACUAAAUUCUUCAUUUUCUUCUUGUUUGCAUUUCUGAAUCUCAAUAAUAAGGAGAUUGCAUGACAGACGGCUGAGUGUGUCAUGACCAACAGAAGAAACAUCAUCAAAGAGGAGCACUCAGAGCCCUGUGAUCCCCAAGUCUGGCUCUGUUAUACAGCCCCUUACCUUAACCACAAUGAUGACCUUCCCCUGCUUGAGACCAACUGCUACAGCUGAAGCACUGGUGUCUUUGGAAGUUUUCUCGGUCGUGAUAAUCUCCAGCAGCUGCAUCUUGUCCACGGGAGAGAAGUAGUGCAUGCCAAUCACCUGGCAAGGGGAACCAAAAGCCAACAGAUCGGAGAAUGCGGGUGAGGAACCUGAGAGCAUUCCUUCUCUGCUAGGAAAACACUAGAAAGAAAGGUGGCUGUGAUAUAGGAAUACUGCUUGACAUAGCUGAGUGGUUUGGUUCCAUGGGUCUUUGAUAAAAGUUUAGUAUGUUUAGGGAGAGCACAUUGGAAUCCUCCUCUUCCAUUUGCUUCUAAGGUUUUUCACUACAGACAUCUGAUCCUCCCAACAAUCAGUGCCAAAACCACAGCUCGAGGCCAAACUAGAUUUAUUGGGGAACGACGGAUGAAGGUUCCACUUAUAUUAAUGAUACUGAUGGUUUAGAUAAGAGGAUCCAGUUUUUUUGGGCGGGGGUGGGGCAGGCAGAAGAAUUAAUGUGUUGGGCUGUCAGAGAAGUAUUUGCAUUUUACACAGAUGGGUCUCACCACCAGGAUACUAGGUUUAACUAACACUCCUCAACAGUCAGAUGCACUUAAGACUCAUUAAACCAGCAGUUCUCCAAGUGUAGUACCCGGACCCAACAAGCACUGUCAUCACCUGGGAGCGUUAGGCCUGCACAUUCUCAGGCCUAGCCCAGCCCUACUGAAUCAGAAACUCCAUGGGUGGGGCCCAGAUUUGUUUUAAUAAUCCCUCCUGGUGAUUCUGAUGCGUGCUAAGGUUUCAGAGAAACCCCUCAUUGAGCUAACAGUUACAUAGUCUUCCCAACAGAACUGUGGUGAAAGAAGUCUAAUUCAUUAAUUUAUAGUUUUGCUUUCUCCCUCUCACUUUAGCUAUAAGGUACAACAAGUGAUAUCUGUAAUUUUUGGCUGCUCAUUAUCUACCUGCUCUUCAAUACAUUUACCACUUAUUCCUUACAUUUAAUCCAUUACAACCCUAUGAACUGGUCAGCCUAAUUAUCUAGAUGAGGAAAAAAGGUAUCAAGAGGUUAGUAGUACAGAGUCAGUCAGCAUAUGACGGGGUGGGAUUCCAUCACAGGUCUGUCUAUCUCCAAUGCCAUUAUGUAAUACACAGAUCAAGUAAAUGUUAUGUAAACUUAUCAAUCCAAAAGUUGUUUCUAACCCCUAAAGUGUUCUUUUACUUACAUCUGAAAUACUUAGGACCUGAUUCAGACUCAGUACUCCUGAGCAAAAGGAAUUAGCCUUUAUUGAUGUAGAAUUUCUAUAUAAUAAAAUGCACAGAUCUUGAAGUGUUCACAUCAAUGAGUUUUGACAACUGUAUAUACAUCCAUAUAAUCACUAACCCAAGCAAAAUAUAUUUACAUCACUCAGAAAGUUGUGCCAAAGAUGACCAACUCAUCCUGGAUGGCUGGGGAUUUCCCAAUUUGUGGCACUGAGGGUCCUGUAUCCCUUGCUCCCGGGCAAACCAAGAUGGUUGGUCACCCUAUUUUGUCUUUUUGGCCUUACUUUUAAAUGAAUGACAAAAGGCAAGCAGGUGAGAAAAGCUGUCCUAGAUACUUGGAGGGCAGAACUGCAAAGUGUGAUGCUUGCUCUGCUCCGAUGGCGGGGAGAGGUUACCAUCAAAUGAACAGCAACGGCAUCGCCUGUACUGAUUUUAGAUGCCACACAGAUGUCUUGAGUGAUAUGACAUGGCCAGACUGUCCAUCUGUAGACUAUCGGCUGCAACUUCUCCCUAUGACCUUUAGCCUGCCAUCAUUGAGCCUGCCUCUGUCAGGUCCCCGCAUCACUUCUAAUCUGCUGUGUGCUAGGAAACUAGAUUACCUUGCAUUAGCAAGCUAGAAGAGUAGGAAUAAAUAGGCUUUUGUGUUUUCAGUACAUAGAAUUUGUAUUAACACUUUCAGCUGCUUAAAGUUCUUUUAUAAUUCCUGCCUACCUUCGGCUGGUUCUGGUUAGCAGAGGCUAACUGGUAUCCUCCAGAGAAGUGAGUUGUUUUACUUCUCUUUGAAUGAUUUCACUUCCCCUUAAUUACUCUGGUUGAGAGCAAAAAUAAAUUUCUGGGCAUCAUUCCAAAUACUCACAGAAAGUGCUUCUAUACCCAGCCCUUUCAUGUCCCGGGGUAGAAGGUGUAAGCAAACCCACGGGCAGACACAUCCCACCAUUCCUGCCAUUCCCUGAUCUGGAGGUGGAACCAAACCUGUUCUAAACAGUCACUGACUCUGCUCUGUAGCCAAACUGGUAUUUUGGAGCAUCCUUUCUUAAGGCCUAUCCUUCAAUGCCUAAUUCUAGGAUACAGGUGGGCUUUAUAUCCUGAACCUGAAAAAUAAUGCCCAUUUGGGAUCCUUGAAAAGGAUAUUUUUUGUUGUACUUAACUUACUCCUGCAUCUCACACUAGUCAUGGUAUUAGCAUUUAUUGUGUCCAGUGUUUAGGAACCACCCGCAUCCACUCCGUAAUCCACUGUCUCUUCUGUACUCAAGCUGUAAGCCUUUAUCAGUGAAUCUGAAGCAAUAAAACAUCUCAGGGUUUUUCUCUGU